rnacentral:rRNA from 1 species
CCUACGGGUGGCAGCAGUGGGGAAUAUUGCACAAUGGGGGAAACCCUGAUGCAGCGACGCCGCGUGAGUGAAGAAGGAAUUCGUUAUGUAAAGCUCUAUCAGCAGGGAAGAAAAUGACGGUACCUGAGUAAGUAGCCCCGGCUAACUACCUGCCAGCCACCGCGGUAAUACGUAGGGGGCAAGCGUUAUCCGGAUUUACUGGGGGGAAAGGGAGCGUAGGCGGGAAUGCAAGUCUGGAGUGAAAGGCGGGGGCUCAACCCCCGGACUGCUCUGGAAACUGUACGGCUGGAGUGCAGGAGAGGCAAGUGGAAUUCCCAGUGUAGCGGUGAAAUGCGUAGAUAUUAGGAGGAACACCAGUGGCGAAGGCGGCUUACUGGACUGUAACUGACGUUGAGGCUCGAAAGCGUGGGGAGCAAACAGGAUUAGAUACCCGAGUAGUC